GUGCCACGGCAGCACAUAUACUAAAAUUGGAUCGAUACAGAGAAGAUUAGCAUGGCCCCUGCAAAAGGAUGACACACAAAUCCAUGAAGCGCUCCAUCUUUUU
ensembl:snRNA U6 U6 spliceosomal RNA